GGAGUUAGCCGGUGCUUCUUCUGCGAGUAACGUCACAGAUGUAAGGUAUUAACUUACACCCUUUCCUCCUCGCUGAAAGUGCUUUACAACCCGAAGGCCUUCUUCACACACGCGGCAUGGCUGCAUCAGGGUUUCCCCCAUUGUGCAAUAUUCCCCACUGCUGCCUCCCGUAGGAGUCUGGGCCGUGUCUCAGUCCCAGUGUGGCUGAUCAUCCUCUCAGACCAGCUAGGGAUCGUCGCCUAGGUGAGCCUUUACCUCACCUACUAGCUAAUCCCACCUGGGCUUAUCCAUCAGCGCAAGGCCCGAAGGUCCCCUGCUUUCCCCCGUAGGGCGUAUGCGGUAUUAGCAGUCGUUUCCAACUGUUAUCCCCCACAAAUGGGCAAAUUCCCAGGCAUUACUCACCCGUCCGCCGCUCGUCAUCUUCAAAAGCAAGCUUUUGAAAUGUUACCGCUCGACUUGCAUGUGUUAGGCCUGCCGCCAGCGUUCAUCUGAGCCAUAAUACAACUACUGA
rnacentral:rRNA from 1 species